GUUCGCAUUAAACAAACUUGUUUUUUUUUUUCUUCACACGGACUUACCCAUCACCCGUUCGUCCGCCGGAAAAUUCCCCUCGUCUCUUCCAUGUUCCAUCACCGCCAGGCGCUAGCUUUUCACCUGCAAGAUCUCGAGGUAGAGUGGUAGACCACAGCCCGCCGGAUUCUUGCGAGCAGCUUCCCAUCGCCCUGCCUUGAUCUGUGCUGGCCUGCGUCCCAUCCCCGUGCUGCCGCGCGCGAUCCCUCCUGGCCUGGGGCUGGAUUUGUGGAUACUUUGUACAGGUGUUGAGGGUUGCAGUUGCAGAUUUGAUUAUUUCCAGAUCGAGGACGGAUGGUUGCGGCCAAUGCCACCGUCAUGGAUAGGGUUCCUUCUGUGUGGGAUCGGCCAUUUUGCAUCAAGGCUAGAGGAUGUUGCACUUGUGCAGUUAAGCUGAAAUAGCUUCCUUGCAAAGCAUCCUUCUUCUAACCCAAAAGGAAAUGGAACACUGAUGUUCCCACACGAUCGGGAGCAGUUUGCCUUCUGCUGAGCUGGAAUAUAUCCUACUUUAUAUGAUAAGAUGUUUGUAAGUAAGUUUACUCGAAUAGAUAAAUUCCUAGUUCUUUCACUUAAUUAAAAUAUGGUUAUUGUUGAUAUGACAAAGUUAUGCAUAUAUAUCUGAGUACAGAUUUUCCAAGCAUGAGUGUUGCUAUACUUAAGAUUUGGAUUUCACUCCUGUGCAGUGAGUACUUCACCAAUCAUGUUGUACUACAUGAUUGGUGAAGUACAAAUCAUAUAUGUACAUCAUGUUGUACUACAUAUAUGUACAAAUUAGAAAAAAGAUAGUACAAGUUAUUUAUAUUUUUUAUGUAUAGCAUAUAUGUACUAAUUUUGCACAAGUUUUUUGUUAGUACAUGUUUUAACUUGCUCUAAAUAUAUAAAUGCUGUCAGCAGUGUUGUGUACUGGAGGACAUUUCGAAAUAGGUAUAGCUACAUCCAUGUUUAACUGAAACUUUUCGUUUAGUUUUAAAGAAUAGAAGUUUAUUCAUGCAUAUAGUUUUUUUUUCUCACACAGCUGCAUAUAUAUAGUUUCCAUAGCGGGGUGAAUUACCGUUAUCACGCUGGCAACCAUUGGGUAUGUAUGGGUUUCCCCAAUAUCCACUAUCACAUCCACAGAGGUAACCAAGAUCAGGUAUAUAUCAAAGUCACAGCCAGUAAUGUUUAGCAAGGCAUUAUCAAGAGUAAAAGAUCUCCCUGGGGCUUUCCAGGACAUGUUAUAAUCUUUGGUACCUGGACUUACUGGGAUUGCAUGGGAAAAAUCAACGGUGACAUACAUAAAUAGGAAGAGCCUAGGUGGUUGUGCGGUGUUGUCACAGGUGAGAUUGAAGUCUGGGUUCCUGAAGCAGCCAGAACCAAUGCCGAAUGGGUAGUCGAAGCUCAGGUUGCCGCAGCUCCGUGGGCAGCCUUCCAGAGUGGCCGCAGAAGGAAGAAUGGUGCUGUUGAUACCUUGAUUUCCUGGCACGCUGGAUGAUCUCACAGUUGGAUUCACUGCAGAAAACAAGACGAAUAGGAGCAGAGGAACCACUGAACUGAAGGGGCUCAUGUCGAUCAUCUUUAUAGUGCUUAGCAUUGUUGCCCUAGAGAAGUUUCAGAGCUUGAGCUGUGAAAAUAUGUGGGAGAACCGGAGAAGCAUUGCAAAUGAGUACAAUGGGUUUUCAUCCAUAUCUAGGUCAUGGUCUUGCUGCUUUAUAAGCAUCUGGAGUCUGGACAGGGCCACAGGGGCCACUGGGAAAUGUAAAAGUCAGUGAUUGUCAAUACUGCAAGAAAAUUGUCAAGGUUUACUGCAAGACUACUUACAGCGAUGAGGGUUGGUAUCAGGUAUGUCACUUCAAUCAGUUCCACUAUUAAUUUUACAUGUGAACCAAAACUUUGCUCUCUCUUUCCACCUGGCUUCCAUUCUUUCAAUCACCAUCGUUGACUGACUGGGCAAUAUAUGGCUCUAUAUUGGAAGCAUCUUCUCACCUUUAUUCAACAUUAAAGUAGCCAAUUGCAGCUAGUAAUUGAUUCCUGGAGUCCUGGUCAGUCAACAUUCUAGCUUUCUAAGCCAUUCAAAAUGUCCAAAGCAAACUCAUGAAUGUGGCGAGCACAUUUUCCACCAUGCCGUUGAUGCUGACAGCAUUGGGAACUGAGUGCCAACCAGCGUAAGUUUCUAACCCAUGGAGCGGGGAGUCGAACAGUUUGAUCGUGGGAGUCUGGAUCUGGCUUAGUGUUCAAGUACAUGAUUUUGACAGGAUAUAGUGACUGAAGUGUGAAACUGUCUUUCCUGGAGAUUACCCCUGCAUUGCUCAUCCAGUGGAGGAAACAGAGUUCACUGCUUGUUACUUGUGAAGUCGAUGAAGGCAGUUGAUGGUAGCAGUUCACCAAGGUCAGGCAGAGUGACUGACCCAGCGGCUAUUCAGCAAUCCGUGCUAAUUAAGUGAUUGUAAUAAAGCUCUCCAUUUCCUGGAAAAGAAGUUACGAAAGAAAGGUGCAACUGAAAUUGGUUAAGGUUCUUCGAAUCCGGUGGAACACCUGCCUACUUCAACCACUGGUUUAGAACCUAUGCUAACGAACUACAUUCUGCUGAUUUGAUUAUGUUCUAAGCUUUUCGUCGAGAUGGCAUCAAUUACUUUGCAUCCAUUCAACGCAAGAGUAUGUACAAAUAUACUGUCUUGAUGUCCGUUGCUGUUUUGAUGUGCCUAAAUUAACCGACUUACUCC
rnacentral:sRNA from 1 species